AGGUUCAUCUCCCUCGCUUGCAGAGAUGUAUUGAUCCGACUCAAAGCUGGACUCAGUGACUUUUUCUUGAGGUUCUUUCUUUUGACUAGUUUGCAACCUCUCCUUUAAAGCUUUCCUCAAAGGUCCAGUUGCUACUUGGAAUUAGUGGCUUUUGCUUGAGAUUCUUUCUUUUGACUGGCAUGCAACCUCUCGUUUAAAGCUUUUCUCAAAGAUCCAAUCGCUACUGCUUUCCUAGCUAUCUUUUUUGUCUGACGAAAUCUUGAUUUUGGGGAUUCAUUAGGAGGGAUAGAGGAUGAGGCGAUGUUAGGUGACACUGGCGGUGGGGUUCCUGAGUUGUCUUGAAGAUUAGUCAUUUUGGAUGAUGAACUUGUGGAAGGCUUAAGAAAAUU
rnacentral:lncRNA from 1 species